rnacentral:misc_RNA from 1 species
AUCUUAAUAAGGCUCUAAGCAUUGUUUGUUCUUUAGGGGUUGAUGAGACCCUACUGUUGGCUGAGGUUUACAAUAACCGCAUUAUACGAUAUUUGGAAGAACCAGCUGAUUCGUUGUCAUUAAUUAGAGAUGGUGACCGUCUCGUUGCUUAUCGGUUAAAGAAAGAGUUGGACAAUGUGCCUUUGGCUGUGUUUAUGCAUCAGCAUAUGGAGGAGCAGUACAUCCAUGGGAAACUUACUUCAAGUUGGAAAGCAUUUGGAAUUCCACUUCUAGGACCAGUCCAUAAUUUUGUCAAUGGAUCUGACAUCCAUAAUUUAUAUCUAAAGUUGCUUUCUCCAUUUCGAUUAGCUGCUGAUGAUUCCUUGGGCAGUAGUGAUACCUGUAAUAGCACCGCUGUUGAAGAUGCUACAGGAAUGGAGGAUAACAAUGAUUCUGCUUUAGGAGGAAAUGCAAAUCUCUCCAGUGUAGAAGGGGCC